rnacentral:rRNA from 1 species
CAACUCCGCUUGAUCCUGGCGGACCCAACUGCUAUCGGGAUGAGACUAAGCCAUGCGAGUCGCACGCUUCCAGGCCAAUGUGGGAGCGUGGCGUACGGCUCAGUAACAUGUGGCUAACCUACCCUCCGGACCGGGACAACUUCGGGAAACUGAGGCUAAACCCGGAUAGAUGGAGAGGCCUGGAACGGUUCUCCGUCGAAAUAAUCCUAGGACCAUGCUUUCUAGGACUGCCCGAGGAUGGGGCCGCAGCCGAUCAGGUCGUUGGUGAGGUAACGGCUCACCAAGCCUAUAACCGGUACGGGCCGUGAGAGCGGGAGCCCGGAGAUGGGCACUGAGACAAGGGCCCAGGCCCUACGGGGCGCAGCAGGCGCGAAACCUCUGCAAUGCGCGAAAGCGUGACAGGGUCAUCCCGAGUGCCAUCCGCUGAGGAAGGCUUUUACCCGGUCUAACUCGCCGGGAGAAUAAGGGGAGGGCAAGUCUGGUGUCAGCCGCCGCGGUAAUACCAGCUCCUCGAGUGGUUGGGACGAUUAUUGGGCCUAAAGCGUCCGUAGCCGGCUGGAAAAGUUCUCCGUAAAAUCCAACGAUCCAAUCGUUGGCUCGCGGGGAAUACUUUCCGGCUUGGGGGCGGGGGAGGUCGGCGGUAGUCCCGGGGUAGGGGCGAAACAACGAAGAACUCGUUUCGCAGUCUUAUAAUCCCGGGAGGACCACCAGUACGAUUGCAGGAGUAUGUGCAGCGAGCAGCGCAAUGAAUCAAUCCAUUCCCAGACUUCUUGGACACAGCUUCGGAGACGGAUACAUUCACAGGGCGAAAUGGUACUUCGUAUACACCAACAAGGCCGAGGAAUUGCACGACGAGGUCAAAGAGAGUGUAUCUAACAUCUUUGGAAGAGUCUCUCAUUGCAGGCGAACCUCAAUCGGUGGGACACCACAAGUUCAAUUCUCUCCCGUCGUCGGGAAGAAACUUAACGAGCAAGGUGGACCACAAGGUUCCAAGAUAAGGCAAGGGACGAUCAUCCCGCCAACGAUGACCAACGGCGACGAAGCAACAAUUGCGAACUUCCUCGGAGCCUUGUGCGACGAUGAAGCCCAGAUUCGAACGGACAGUGGAUCGAAGCAGAUCGCUCUAAAAUCCGUGAAGAUUUCUUCUCUCGAAGCCGAACUCGAAGCCUAUCUGAAUCAGAUCAGAGAGAUGUUCGAGAGCCUAGGAGUCACAUGUUCAGCCCCGAAACGCGACAGAACAUAUGUCCGUCGAGGCGAAACAAGGAUAUCCAAACGCAUCUGGAUUACUAGCAGCACUAAUUUCGCAACCUUCGCGCGGAAGAUCGUGCUGAAUCAUUCGGAAAAACGAGCUCGACUGCAAACUCUCCUAUAAUCGUGGUGAAUGGCGAAGGCGGCCGACUAAAACGCGCCCGACGGUGAGGGACGAAAGCUGGGGGAGCGAACGGGAUUAGAUACCCCGGUAGUCCCAGCUGUAAACGAUGCAGGCUAGGUGUUAGGACGGGUACGGCCCGUUCUAGUGCCGCAGGGAAGCCAUUAAGCCUGCCGCCUGGGGAGUACGGCCGCAAGGCUGAAUUCUCGUCCGGCAGAAAACCGCGCUUGACGAGACAGUUUACUUAAAGGAAUUGGCGGGGGAGCACCACAAGGGGUGAAGCUUGCGGUUUAAUUGGAGUCAACACCGGGAACCUUACCAGGGGCGACAGUUGGAUGAAGGUCAGAUUAAAGGUCUUACCGGACUAGCUGAGAGGAGGUGCAUGGCCGUCGCCAGUUCGUGCCGUGAGGUGUUCUCUUAAG